rnacentral:lncRNA from 1 species
UUUGGGUUCUUUUUCUAUUCACUCAUGUCAGAUAGAGACAUACAUGUUGUAAAUUAUUUUGUCAGAAUGAAAGCCUGGCAGAUUAAAUGCUUUCUUCUCUUCUUGCUUUACUUGAUAUCAAUCUCUUGUUCAUUUCUUGAUAAUAUGUUUGGUUAUUUUUGUUUUCAUUGCUUUUAGUGUCAGAGAUGGCUUUGGAUUCCCCGUUCUGUGUGCUGCUGUCUGGCUCCUGAACCCAGCUGUAGAGGUGUGUCAAUCCCAACUGGUGAAGUACUGAGAGGAAGCUACACAAAAGGCAGCAAAGUAUUAGUGAGUGGUGUCAUUGAGCAAACACGAAGUCGGGCUCAUCCAAGGAUGAGAUUUUGCCAGAGAAAGGACGAGCAGCAAGUCAGGGAGCUUAAGGUGGUGGAAAGGAAAUCCCUCACAGCAACUGGCACCAUAAUCAAGACAGAAUGUUUGCAGAAUAAAUGGAGUUACCUGCUUUCAGCCCCAGGUUGUAGCUAUUGUCUGCCCUGAUGAUAUGUGAUAAUAAUUUGUGAUCCUA